rnacentral:rRNA from 1 species
GACGAACGCUGGCGGCGUGCUUAACACAUGCAAGUCGAACGGAAAGGCCCUGCUUUUGUGGGGUGCUCGGGUGGCGAACGGGUGAGUAACACGUGAGUAACCUGCCCUUGACUUUGGGAUAACUUCGGGAAACUGGGGCUAAUACCGGAUAGGAGCUCCUGCUGCAUGGUGGGGGUUGGAAAGUCUCGGCGGUUGGGGAUGGACUCGCGGCUUAUCAGCUUGUUGGUGGGGUAGUGGCUUACCAAGGCUUUGACGGGUAGCCGGCCUGAGAGGGUGACCGGCCACAUUGGGACUGAGAUACGGCCCAGACUCCUACGGGAGGCAGCAGUGGGGAAUAUUGCACAAUGGGCGGAAGCCUGAUGCAGCAACGCCGCGUGCGGGAUGACGGCCUUCGGGUCGUAAACCGCUUUCGCCUGUGACGAAGCGUGAGUGACGGUAAUGGGUAAAGAAGCACCGGCUAACUACGUG